GACGAACGCUGGCGGCGUGCUUAACACAUGCAAGUCGAACGGGCCUUGUCCCCUUUUUUUUGGGGGUGGGGUUAGUGGCGAACGGGUGAGUAACACGUGAGUAACCUGCCCCUCACUUCUGGAUAACCGCUUGAAAGGGUGGCUAAUACGGGGUGUUCUGGCCUGCUCGCAUGGGUGGGUUUGGAAAGAUUCGACCGGUUUUGGUUGUUUUGGUGGGGGAUGGGCUCGCGGCCUAUCAGCUUGUUGGUGGGGUGAUGGCCUGCCAAGGCUUUGACGGGUAGCGAGCCUGAGAGGGUGAGCGGUCACACUGGGACUGAGACGCGGCCCAGACUCCUACGGGAGGCAGCAGUGGGGAAUAUUGCACAAUGGGCGCAAGCCUGAUGCAGCGACGCCGCGUGAGGGAUGGAGGCCUUCGGGUUGUGAACCUCUUUCGCCAGUGAAGAAGGUCCUGCUCUUUGUGGUGGGGUUGACGGUAGCUGGGUUAAUGAAGCGCCGGCUAACUACGUG
rnacentral:rRNA from 1 species